UUUCCGUAGGUGAACCUGCGGAAGGAUCAUUAAAAAUUGGACUCCAUUGGUGAGUUCAUUAAUAAUCCCUACCCUUUGUGAAUUUGUUUGUUUGAAUAAUUUUUUUCCAAAAAAAUUAUUGAAUGUCUUUCCCUGUUUCGGUGGAGCUUGUAAAGUGAAACCAGGCAGGGGAAUGGCAAACAAUAAUUAUUUUUGAAAAAAGACCUUUUUUUAAAAUUAAACUUUUUGUAUUCAUUUGUCUAAAAUUAUUUUUAUAAUAUAAAAACAACUUUUGACAAUGGAUCUCUUGGUUCUCGCAACGAUGAAGAACGCAGCAAAAUGCGAUAAGUAGUGUGAAUUGCAGAAUACGUGAAUCAUCGAAUCUUCGAACGCAUAUUGCACUUUUUUAGUUUACUAAAAAAGUAUGUCUGUUGAGUAUCAGUAAAAUAUUCUCAUAAAAACAUUGUUUUUUAUGGUUAUGAGUGUUUUACAACGAUAACAAGUUGUUUCACUUUAAAUUCUUUGUUAUCAAAAAAAUCAUUAAAAGCUAAUUUUAAAGAUUUUUUAAAAUUGGAUAAAAUUUUCCCGUAAAAAGGAAUAACCUAAACAUUUUAAAAAAUUAAAAUUGGUUUGAUUUUUUUUGAAACCCAAAGGAAAAAAAAACGAAAUUAACUUGAUCUCAAAUCAGAUAAGAGUACCCGCUGAACUUAAGCAUAUCAAUAAGCGGAGGAAAAGAAACUAACUAGGAUCCCUCAGUAACGGCGAGUGAAGCGGGAAGAGCUCAAAUUUGAAAUCUUCAAGGUUUUACCUUGACGAAUUGUAGUUUAAAGAAGUGUUUUCUGUUGGAGUUUUGGUAAAAGUUCUUUGGAAAAGGACAUCAUAGAGGGUGAGAAUCCCGUAUUUGACCAUUAUCUCCAGCUUUGUGAUACACUUUCAAAGAGUCGGAUUGUUUGGGAAUGCAGUCCAAAAUGGGUGGUAAAUUUCAUCUAAAGCUAAAUACUGGCGAGAGACCGAUAGCGAACAAGUACCGUGAGGGAAGAUGAAAAGAACUUUGAAAAGAGAGUUAAACAGUACGUGAAAUUGUCAAAAGGGAAGCGUUUGACACCAGUGUUGUUUUCUCGAAAAUCAAUUAAAAAAGGCCGGAUUUUGUGUUGUAUUGACUUUAUCAGCUUUCUGCACUUUUUUCUUGUCUUUUUUAAUGCACUUUUCGUUUAACAAGUCUACAUUAAUUUCUUUUGUUGUAAAAGGGUCAUUGGAAGGUGGCUUUCUCUUCGGAGAAAGUGUUUAUAGCCUUUGGCCUCUGCAAUCGGAGAGAUUGAGGUCUGCAGCGUAGAUCCUUCGGGGUUGAUACAUUUGUGCUAAGUUAUAGCCUUUCAUAGACAACUUGUUGACUAUGAUCAGUCAUGUAGCUUACUCGCUGAUGCUAUUUUACCUACGCUUAGGAUGUUGAA
rnacentral:misc_RNA from 1 species